AAUAACGUGCUGCCUGCGGCUCAAAGUACAGGCCGUGGUGGGCCGGAGCUGAAACAUUAACCAGGCCUUGGGCUUGCUGAGGACAAGCACAGUGGAUGGGUUGCUUCUUACCGAGUCUCAGCGCUGCCUGGGAGACGCUGGCGGACGCCAAUCACCACAGUGAAAUGCUGCAUGGCAAUACAAACGCAGCUUUUUUCCCCUUUUGGAGAUGAGCACGUGUCAAUUGAACAAAGGAUGAUAGGAAAGUUUUCUUCCAAAGAUGAGCAAAACAAGGAGCACACCCCAGCUGUGAGCCUCAGCAUGCAGCUGUCUGCACUAGUAACUUAGAAAGAUCUUUACUGUCAAGAGUGAUGCACACUGGAACAGGCUGUCCAGAGAGGUUGUGGGGCCUCUUUCUCUGGUGGAAUUCAAGACCUGUCUGCACGCCUUCCUAUGUGACCUACUGUAGGGAACCUGCUUUAGCAGGGGGUUGGACUUGAUCUCUAGAGCUCCCUUCCAAACCCUACAAUUCUGUGUGAUUCUGUGACAUCUCACCCCCAAGAGACACCUGACAGACAGAAAAAUCCUUCUCACCCUGCUCUACUGCUUUUCCCCUUAGCUCUGAACAAAGAUCCUCCCAUUCCAUGAAGCUUUGGCAGCUAUAAAACAUCACAGAGCAGCAGCUUCCCAGGGAUGCUUUGGGACUGAGCAACCUCUGGGUUCCCCAGCGGUGCUGAAGAACUCCAACAUUUCUCCGUUUUGAAUAGAGCUGGCAAAAUCCAUAAUUGCUUCCAUUCUGCUUGGCUGGAAAAUAGCAAAAGCCAGGCAUGCUGCCACGGGACUGCUGGGUGCAGAGUGGGUAUGACAGAGGGCUCUGCACCAAGGCUUACCCAACAGAAGUGAAGGCAUCCCACAGCUCAGCCUGGCUUUCAUGAAUCUUUUAAUAUAUAUAUAUAUUU
rnacentral:lncRNA from 7 species